rnacentral:rRNA from 1 species
AUCUACGGCCAUACCACCCUGAACGCGCCUGAUCUCGUCUGAUCUCGGAAGCUAAGGAGGGUCGGGCCUGGUUAGUAAAUA